UACGUAGGGGGCAAGCGUUGUCCGGAAUUAUUGGGCGUAAAGAGCGCGUAGGCGGUCCGAUAAGUCGGCUGUGAAAGUCAGGGGCUCAACCCUUGAAAGCCGGCCGAUACUGUCGGACUAGAGUCCGGAAGAGGCAAGUGGAAUUCCCGGUGUAGCGGUGAAAUGCGCAGAUAUCGGGAGGAACACCAAUGGCGAAGGCAGCUUGCUGGGACGGUACUGACGCUGAGGCGCGAAAGCUAGGGUAGCAAACGGG
rnacentral:rRNA from 1 species